UACGGAGGGGGCUAGCGUUGUUCAGAAUUACUGGGCGUAAAGCGCACGUAGGCGGCUUUGCAAGUCAGAGGUGAAAGCCCGGGGCUCAACCCCGGAAUAGCCUUUGAGACUGCAUCGCUUGAACAUCGGAGAGGUAAGUGGAAUUCCGAGUGUAGAGGUGAAAUUCGUAGAUAUUCGGAAGAACACCAGUGGCGAAGGCGACUUACUGGACGAUUGUUGACGCUGAGGUGCGAAAGCGUGGGGAGCAAACAGG
rnacentral:rRNA from 1 species